rnacentral:rRNA from 1 species
GGAAAAGGGCGCACCUGAUCAGCCAUGCCGCGUGGUGUGAAGAAGGCCUUCGGGUUGUAAAGCNCUUUCAGNUGGUGAGGAAGGCGUUGUANUUAAUAGCUGCANCGCAUUGACGUUAGCCACANAAGAAGCNCCGGCUAACUCCGUGCCAGCAGCCGCGGUAAUA